ncrna:Caenorhabditis remanei microRNA crm-mir-34 precursor
CUCGAGAGGCAGUGUGGUUAGCUGGUUGCAUAUUGAAUUGACAACGGCUACCUUCACUGCCACCCCGA